rnacentral:rRNA from 1 species
AACGAACGCUGGCGGCAUGCCUAACACAUGCAAGUCGAACGAGACCUUCGGGUCUAGUGGCGCACGGGUGCGUAACGCGUGGGAAUCUGCCCUUGGGUUCGGAAUAACAGUUAGAAAUGACUGCUAAUACCGGAUAAUGUCUUCGGACCAAAGAUUUAUCGCCCAGGGAUGAGCCCGCGUAGGAUUAGCUAGUUGGUGAGGUAAAGGCUCACCAAGGCGACGAUCCUUAGCUGGUCUGAGAGGAUGAUCAGCCACACUGGGACUGAGACACGGCCCAGACUCCUACGGGAGGCAGCAGUGGGGAAUAUUGGACAAUGGGCGAAAGCCUGAUCCAGCAAUGCCGCGUGAGUGAUGAAGGCCUUAGGGUUGUAAAGGCUCUUUUACCCGGGAUGAUAAUGACAGUACCGGGAGAAUAAGCCCCGGCUAACUCCGUGCCAGCAGCCGCGGUAAU